UCCCAGGUGGCUGAGUGAUAAAGACUCUGCCUGAUAAGCAGGAGACCUGGGUUCUAGCCCUGGGUUGGGAA
rnacentral:tRNA from 1 species